rnacentral:rRNA from 1 species
GCACAUGGUGGAUGCCUUGGCGAUUACAGGCGAUGAAGGACGUAGUAGCUUGCGAUAAGCUGCGGGGAGCUAGCAAACGAGCUUUGAUCCGCAGAUUUCCGAAUGGGGAAACCCGGCCUUUUAGGUCAUUGCAUGCUGAAUACAUAGGCAUGCAAAGCGAACGCGGCGAACUGAAACAUCUAAGUAGCCGCAGGAAAAGAAAUCAACCGAGAUUCCCAGAGUAGUGGCGAGCGAAAUGGGAGCAGCCUGUACUCUUUAUCUGCAGUGUUAGCUGAACGCUCUGGAAAGUGCGGCCAUAGCGGGUGAUAGCCCCGUAGGCGAAAGCAUUGU